rnacentral:rRNA from 1 species
UUGGUACCUACCAGAAGAAGUCCCGGCAAACUCCGUGCCAGCAGCCGCGGUAAUACGGAGGGGGCAAGCGUUGUUCGGAAUUAUUGGGCGUAAAGGGCAUGUAGGCGGUUUGGUAAGUUAAAGGUGAAAUACCAGGGCUUAACCCUGGGGCUGCUUUUAAUACUGCAGGACUAGAGUCCGGAAGAGGAUAGCGGAAUUCCUAGUGUAGAGGUGAAAUUCGUAGAUAUUAGGAGGAACACCAGUGGCGAAGGCGGCUGUCUGGUCCGGUACUGACGCUGAGGUGCGAAAGCGUGGGAGCAAACAGAUAGAU